UACGGAGGGGGCUAGCGUUGUUCGGAAUCACUGGGCGUAAAGCGCACGUAGGCGGAUCUUUAAGUCAGAGGUGAAAUCCCAAGGCUCAACCUUGGAACUGCCUUUGAUACUGGGGAUCUUGAGUCCGGGAGAGGUGAGUGGAACUGCGAGUGUAGAGGUGAAAUUCGUAGAUAUUCGCAAGAACACCAGUGGCGAAGGCGGCUCACUGGCCCGGUACUGACGCUGAGGUGCGAAAGCGUGGGGAGCAAACAGG
rnacentral:rRNA from 1 species